UGGGGAAUCUUGGACAAUGGGGGAAACCCUGAUCCAGCGACGCCGCGUGGGUGAUGAAGGCCUUCGGGUCGUAAAGCCCUGUCGGGAGGGAAGAAACUCCUGCCGGUAAACAAUCGGCGGGAUUGACGGUACCUCCUAAGGAAGCACCGGCUAACUCUGUGCCAGCAGCCGCGGUAAGACAGAGGGUGCAAGCGUUGUUCGGAAUUACUGGGCGUAAAGGGCGCGUAGGCGGUCCGCUAAGUUCGGUGUGAAAUCCCCUGGCUCAACUGGGGAACUGCGCCGGAAACUGGCAGACUCGAGUACCGGAGAGGAGGGUGGAAUUCCUGGUGUAGCGGUGAAAUGCGUAGAUAUCAGGAGGAACACCGGUGGCGAAGGCGGCCCUCUGGACGAGUACUGACGCUGAGGCGCGAAAGCGUGGGGAUCAAACAG
rnacentral:rRNA from 1 species